rnacentral:rRNA from 1 species
UAGGGAAUCUUCCUNCAAUGGGCGAAAGCCUGACGGAGCAACGCCGCGUGAGUGAAGAAGGAUUUCGGUUCGUAAAGCUCUGUUGUUAGGGAAGAAUGAUUGUGUAGUAACUAUACACAGUAGAGACGGUACCUAACCAGAAAGCCACGGCUAACUACGUGCCAGCAGCCGCGGUAAUACGUAGGUGGCAAGCGUUGUCCGGAAUUAUUGGGCGUAAAGCGCGCGCAGGUGGUUUAAUAAGUCUGAUGUGAAAGCCCACGGCUCAACCGUGGAGGGUCAUUGGAAACUGUUAAACUUGAGUGCAGGAGAGAAAAGUGGAAUUCCUAGUGUAGCGGUGAAAUGCGUAGAGAUUAGGAGGAACACCAGUGGCGAAGGCGGCUUUUUGGCCUGUAACUGACACUGAGGCGCGAAAGCGUGGGGAGCAAACAGGAUUAGAUACCCUGGUAGUCCACGCCGUAAACGAUGAGUGCUAAGUGUUGGUCUCAUAAGAGAUCAGUGCUGCAGCUAACGCAUUAAGCACUCCGCCUGGGGAGUACGACCGCAAGGUUG